GAUGAACGCUAGCGGCAGGCUUAAUACAUGCAAGUCGAGGGGCAGCGCAGUGUAGCAAUACAUGGGCGGCGACCGGCAAACGGGUGCGGAACACGUACAGAACCUUCCUUUAAGUGGGGAAUAGCCCAGAGAAAUUUGGAUUAAUACCCCGUAACAUUAUGAAGUGGCAUCACUUUAUAAUUAUAGACUUAUCGCUUAAA
rnacentral:rRNA from 1 species